AGCUUUAUAGUCAAAAUUGAUUUAAAAUUGCAAAUUUUAAGGUAUAAAUAAAUUAUUUAUUAAGGCUU
rnacentral:tRNA from 1 species